GAUGAACGCUGGCGGCGUGCUUAACACAUGCAAGUCGAACGAUGAAGCCCAGCUUGCUGGGUGUGUUAGUGGCGAACGGGUGAGUAACACGUGAGUAACCUGCCCUUAACUCUGGGAUAAGCCUGGGAAACUGGGUCUAAUACCGGAUAGGAGCGUCCACCGCAUGGUGGGUGUUGGAAAGAUUUAUCGGUUUUGGAUGGACUCGCGGCCUAUCAGCUUGUUGGUGAGGUAAUGGCUCACCAAGGCGACGACGGGUAGCCGGCCUGAGAGGGUGACCGGCCACACUGGGACUGAGACACGGCCCAGACUCCUACGGGAGGCAGCAGUGGGGAAUAUUGCACAAUGGGCGCAAGCCUGAUGCAGCGACGCCGCGUGAGGGAUGACGGCCUUCGGGUUGUAAACCUCUUUCAGUAGGGAAGAAGCGAAAGUGACGGUACCGGCAGAAGAAGCACCGGCUAACUACGUG
rnacentral:rRNA from 1 species